UACGGGGGGGGGCAAGCGUUGUUCGGAAUUACUGGGCGUAAAGGGCUCGUAGGCGGCCAACUAAGUCAGACGUGAAAUCCCUCGGCUUAACCGGGGAACUGCGUCUGAUACUGGAUGGCUUGAGUUGGGAGAGGGAUGCGGAAUUCCAGGUGUAGCGGUGAAAUGCGUAGAUAUCUGGAGGAACACCGGUGGCGAAGGCAGCCCCCUGGGUUACACUGACGCUCCAGGCACGAAAGCGUGGGGAGCAAACAGG
rnacentral:rRNA from 1 species